UACGGAGGGUGCAAGCGUUACUCGGAAUCACUGGGCGUAAAGGGCGCGUAGGCGGCCUAGCAAGUAUGGUGUGAAAGCCCAGGGCUCAACCCUGGAAGGGCACUGGAAACUGUUAGGCUUGAGUUCCGGAGAGGAGGGGGGAAUUCCCGGUGUAGCGGUGAAAGGCGUAGAUAUCGGGAGGAAUACCGGUGGCGAAGGCGCCGCUCUGGACGGAAACUGACGCUGAGGCGCGAAAGCGUGGGGAGCAAGCAGG
rnacentral:rRNA from 1 species